rnacentral:misc_RNA from 1 species
AUUAUUAAUUUAAUAUUACAACCAAAGAACGAAAAAUAUUUUCAUGAAAACUUUUUAAUAUUUUUCAUGAAAAAUAUUUUUCAUAUACAAGUCAUUUUUCAUGAAACAAACGGAGCAUAAGUUAAAAAUCAUUUUGCUAUCCCAACCCUCACUGUUCAAAGUUUCCUUAAAAGGAAAAAAAAAAGUUCAUGGUCUUUUACCAUAAUUUCGAGAUAGAUAAAUAGUGCCACUCCAAAUCUCAGAGCAAUCAGAUACAGCAAAAACCCUUAAAAGAGGAAAGUAUAACUCUACCACAAAGGGACUCACCAUUGUUCAUUUAUAUGCUCACUAAGGCCUUUCUUUUCUCCUGCUUUAAGAGAUUCCAGAAAUGGCAGGAUUUCUUUCAUAUUAUAAGAUGACUAUACCGAGCCUUCUUUAAAAAAGCUUACUAGUACCACAACAGACAUACACAAUCCCAUAGCCACAUGGUAUUGUAGCCAAUCGUCCAAAGAAAGCCCAUUUACUGUUUAAGCAAUAUUUUUCAACCUAGU